rnacentral:rRNA from 1 species
CUGGUGGCGAGUGGCGAACGGGUGAGUAAUACAUCGGAACAUGUCCUGUAGUGGGGGAUAGCCCGGCGAAAGCCGGAUUAAUACCGCAUACGAUCUACGGAUGAAAGCGGGGGACCUUCGGGCCUCGCGCUAUAGGGUUGGCCGAUGGCUGAUUAGCUAGUUGGUGGGGUAAAGGCCUACCAAGGCGACGAUCAGUAGCUGGUCUGAGAGGACGACCAGCCACACUGGGACUGAGACACGGCCCAGACUCC